rnacentral:rRNA from 1 species
GACGAACGCUGGCGGCAUGCCUAAUACAUGCAAGUCGAGCGAACAGAUGAAGUGCUUGCACUUCUGACGUUAGCGGCGAACGGGUGAGUAACACGUAAGGAAUCUGCCUAUAAGCGGGGGAUAACAUUCGGAAACGGGUGCUAAUACCGCAUAAUAUCUUCUUCCGCAUGGAAGAAGAUUGAAAGACGGCUCUGCUGUCACUUAUAGAUGACCUUGCGGUGCAUUAGUUAGUUGGUGGGGUAACGGCCUACCAAGACGAUGAUGCAUAGCCGACCUGGGAUGGUGAUCGGCCACAGGUGGACUGAGACACGGCCCAAACUCCUACGGGAGGCAGCAGUAGGGAAUCUUCCGAAAUGGGCGAAAGCCUGACGGAGCAAUGCCGCGUGAGUGAAGAAGGCCUUCGGGUCGUAAAACUCUGUUAUAAGAGAAGAACAAAUUGUAGAGUAACUGCUACAGUCUUAACGGUAUCUAAUCAGAAAGCCACGGCUAACUACGUGCCAGCCGCCGCGGUAA